GACGAACGCUGGCGGCGUGCUUAACACAUGCAAGUCGAGCGGUAAGGCCCUUUCGGGGGUACACGAGCGGCGAACGGGUGAGUAACACGUGGGUGACCUGCCCUCAGCUCUGGGAUAAGCCUGGGAAACCGGGUCUAAUACUGGAUAUGACUCCAUGACGCAUGUUGUGGGGUGGAAAGCCUUGUGCGGCUGAGGAUGGGCCCGCGGCCUAUCAGCUUGUUGGUGGGGNGAUGGCCUACCAAGGCGACGACGGGUAGCCGGCCUGAGAGGGCGACCGGCCACACUGGGACUGAGACACGGCCCAGACUCCUACGGGAGGCAGCAGUGGGAAUCUUGCGCAAUGGGCGAAAGCCUGACGCAGCGACGCCGCGUGAGGGAUGACGGCCUGGUGU
rnacentral:rRNA from 1 species